rnacentral:lncRNA from 1 species
ACUGAAGCUGCAACAAAAUUCCUGAACAGGAUGCGAAAGUGUUUCAGCUGAGCCUUGAGAGGUGAACGUACCUUGGCACCUGUCCCCUGGAUGGGACAACUUGAGGAAGGGCCAUCAAUAUUCCUGUUCCCUACCCAGGACACUGCUAAUGUGCAUAUGAGGAGUAAGUCCACCACUAACUCUCUAUCCCUGAAGGGCUUUCACUGUCCUGAAGUAGGCACAACUGUGUAGGCCCAGCAGGUCAUGUCACUGAUGCAGAAGAAAGGGAGAGAGCAGCAUGGCAGAUGCCUGCUGUGUGGGCUACACUGAUUGUCUAAAUGCAAGACAAAUACCAAGGGUCCUCCUGGCAGUGAGUGAAAGAGAAACCAAGCAGAGAUGAGACAAAAGAGACGAGGAAGGUUUAUUACCUGAAGGGGAUGAGGAGAGCAUUGGCAUCCUAUUUGGGAAGCCACAUCCUGCUCC